GACGAACGCUGGCGGCGUGCUUAACACAUGCAAGUCGAACGGAAUGGCGAACGGGUGAGUAACGCGUAAUCAACCUGCCCUUCAGUGGGGGACAACAGGUGGAAACGACGGCUAAUACGGCAUACUGAGGCUGGGGCUUGCGUCUGAUUAGCUAGUUGGAGGGGUACAGGCCCACCAAGGCGAUGAUCAGUAGCCGGCCUGAGAGGAGGAACGGCCAAACGGGGCAUGGGACACGGCCCAGAAUACUACGGGAGGGAGCCGUGGGGAAGCUUCAGCAAUGGACGAAAGUCUGACGGAGCCACGCCGCGUGAGUGAUGACGGCCUUCGGGUUGUAAAGCUCUGUUAAGCGGGACGCGGUACCGGAAUAGAAAGCCACGGCUAACUACGUGCCAGCAGCCGCGGUAAUAC
rnacentral:rRNA from 1 species